GGCUAGAUAACAUAACGGUAAUGUAAAGGACUGCAAAUCCUUUAAUGACGGUUCAAAUCCGUCUCUAGCUU
rnacentral:tRNA from 5 species